rnacentral:rRNA from 1 species
GAUGAACGCUAGCGGGAGGCCUAACACAUGCAAGCCGAGCGGUAGAGUUUCUUCGGAAACUUGAGAGCGGCGCACGGGUGCGUAACACGUGUGCAACCUACCUUUAUCUGGGGGAUAGCCUUUCGAAAGGAAGAUUAAUACCCCAUAAUAUAAUGAUUGGCAUCAAUUAUUAUUGAAAACUCCGGUGGAUAGAGAUGGGCACGCGCAAGAUUAGAUAGUUGGUGAGGUAACGGCUCACCAAGUCAAUGAUCUUUAGGGGUCCUGAGAGGGAGAUCCCCCACACUGGUACUGAGACACGGACCAGACUCCUACGGGAGGCAGCAGUGAGGAAUAUUGGACAAUGGAUGAGAGCCUGAUCCAGCCAUCCCGCGUGAAGGAUGACGGUCCUAUGGAUUGUAAACUUCUUUUGUACAGGGAUAAACCUACCCUCGUGAGGGUAGCUGAAGGUACUGUACGAAUAAGCACCGGCUAACUCCGUG